rnacentral:rRNA from 1 species
UACAGAGGGUGCGAGCGUUAAUCGGAAUUACUGGGCGUAAAGCGCGCGUAGGCGGCUUUAUAAGUCGGGGGUGAAAGCCUGUGGCUCAACCACAGAAUUGCCUUCGAUACUGUAGAGCUUGAGACCGGAAGAGGUAAGUGGAACUGCGAGUGUAGAGGUGAAAUUCGUAGAUAUUCGCAAGAACACCAGUGGCGAAGGCGGCUUACUGGUCCGGUUCUGACGCUGAGGCGCGAAAGCGUGGGGAGCAAACAGG